GAAACUCACCUCCUGCCGAUCUACCACAGAUGCAGCAGGGCCGCCUCCCAGGACGAGUGGUGCACACGCCGAGUCGUCUCGGCCGUCAGACGUGCACCGACGUUCUUCAAUGUCGGCACCCACACGACCCCUCCUAUCACGUCUUGGAGGGUCCGAGCAACAUGGUCCGUCUCCACAAGUCUCGACGCAGCCUCGCAGAUUGAGCCCUGUACGUCCACAGUCAGGUUACUUCGGUGACGAGGCCGGUCCGUCUUCGGCGGCCCCACACCCUACCCCCCCCCCCCGCAACGUACUACGGCACGUCAGCGUGGCCUUCUUCUGCUGCACCGUCGUACCACGCAGGUACAAUUAUACAUUUUUUACUACUACUUUCAAUACCAUAUUGUUCGUAUCUAACGUGAUUAUUUGUUCACAGGCCCCUCCAGCC